UGGGGAAUCUUCCGCAAUGGGCGCAAGCCUGACGGAGCAACGCCGCGUGAGUGAAGAAGUUCUUCGGAUCGUAAAGCUCUGUUGAUGGGGACGAACGUGCCUAAUGCGAAUAGUAUUAGGUAAUGACGGUACCCAUCGAGGAAGCCACGGCUAACUACGUGCCAGCAGCCGCGGUAAUACGUAGGUGGCGAGCGUUGUCCGGAAUCAUUGGGCGUAAAGGGAGCGCAGGCGGGCAUGUAAGUCUUUCUUAAAAGUGCGGGGCUCAACACCGUGAUGGGAAAGAAACUAUGUGUCUUGAGGAGAGGAGAGGAAAGCAGAAUUCCCAGUGUAGCGGUGAAAUGCGUAGAUAUUGGGAGGAACACCAGUGGCGAAGGCGGCUUUCUGGACUGCAACUGACGCUGAGGCUCGAAAGCCAGGGGAGCGAACGCG
rnacentral:rRNA from 1 species